CAGCUGAAUUAACCAAGAAAGGUGCGACUGUGUCCGCGAGGAGAGCGCCCCCCCCGAAAGGCGUCUCACCCGCGGGUCGGAGGACGAGGGGCGCACCGUGGCCCCGGAGCCCGCAGCAUUCAGUCGGACGCCUAAACUUGCACCAAGGACUAAACUGAACGCGCAAAAGGAGGAAGCCCGUUGUUCCUGGCAGGUUUGUGUUCCUUAAGAAGUGCGUGGACUUACAUCGCCUCCAGUCUCUCUUCUCUCUGUGGGAAGGCUGGAAGACAGGAGGUUUUCUGGAGAGCACAUAGGUGAUGGAUUGACUGAGGAAAGGCACAGGAAGAAGAAAAAAUGAACAGAGCAAGUGUUUCCACUGCACAUUUUCAGAAACACUUGCACAUACAAAAAAAAUGUGUUUGGUCCCCCAGAAGCCUUAUGUCAAUACAUCUGGAGUUCAGUGAAAGGACAGGGGUAAAGAUACUGGAAUUUUAAGGCGGAGAUAUUAGGCAGGGCUGUAACUCACUCCUGUAGCUGCUGUCGUAAUGUCAUGCCCCCCCCAAACGUUAUGUAAGUGAUGUUAAGGCCUCGUGCAUUGUUUGCUGAAGAACACAACCCUUCAUGAGCUAAAACGGAGCAGCCCUGGGAUUAAAGAUCGAUCCUCUGGUUACAUAUUGGGCGCCCCACGCUAAGUUCCGCCAGACGGCCAGUCCAGCCCUGUUUGACCCAUUUCCCCCCCACCUUUUUUCUUCUUCUGUGCCUCUGACCCUCCCCCAUGUAGCAAAGCUUCAAGACACCCCCAUUGUUUCUGUGUCCACCUCAACAUUGUCUUAUCACAUCCUGUGUUUUAUUUUCGGCCCACCAUUAUCUCUAUUUCUUGUGAACUUUUUGUUGUCAGUCUCUGUCCGAAUAUUGUUGCCUGUGUUCCUUCUCCCUGUUUCCAUUUUCCCCCCUCAGUCCUCCAUUCUUUUUGGGAGUAAGUUAUUUAAGGAAUCUGAUCUGCUCCCAUCACUAACACACACAGACUAGUCCAGUGCCAACAGAUUCCUUAACAACCAACUAACGACCUACGCAAUGAAACUGAUCCACACUGAGCUAAUAACACAGUCAUAGGCUGCAUCUCCUCAGAGGUGAAUGGCCUCCAUCCCCUGCCUUUUGUCCAUGGCCCUCAGUUUGAUGUGAGUGCCCCAGUAAUACUGUCAGACCCCGGAGAGGAAUCUGUACUUUAAUGGGAAUAAAGAUACUGUGAGUUUUUU